rnacentral:rRNA from 1 species
CACGCUGUAAACGAUGUGAACUAGAUGUAGGGGGUGUUGAUCCCCUCUGUGUCGGAGCUAACGCAUUAAGUUCACCGCCUGGGGAGUACGGUCGCAAGAUUAAAACUCAAAGGAAUUGACGGGGGCCCGCACAAGCGGUGGAGUAUGUGGUUUAAUUCGAUGCAACGCGAAGAACCUUACCUGGUCUUGACAUCCCGGGAAUUCUUAGGAAACUAGGAAGUGCCUUCUUUGAAGGAGCCUGGAGACAGGUGC